AUCACAUUGAAGAAGAAUGAUAGUAGUCAACAAAAUAUUAUAGGCUGUAUCAAUUUAGAAUUUAAAGGAAUAUCUCAAUUAAUAUUCACACCAAGGGGUAAAAAAAAUAGUGAUAACAAACAAAAAAAUACACUAAGUCACAACAAAUCACUAUCUAAUAAAUAUAUAUAAAAAAUCUAGGGAGAAUUUAAAUGGAAAUGAAGUUCCACUCAUGUCAGCAAUUCCCACAUACUCCAGAAAACUAAAGGAUAAUAGACAACCAAUUAUACUAGAUCAUUUAGAACCAUCACCUACUACAAGUGAUAUAGUCUAUUACUUUAUACUUAUAAUAAUCAAAAGUUGGUUCCAAAGCUAACAUGUCAUCUAUGAUUAUUAGCCUAGGUUUCUCAAUAUUAAUUUUAAACAUCUAUCAUAUAUUGGUAAAAAAAUAUUGCCAACACAAUUUUGAUUUUUUCACUUUGAAGGAU